UACGUAGGGGGCUAGCGUUGUCCGGAAUCAUUGGGCGUAAAGCGCGUGUAGGCGGUCCGGUAAGUCCGCUGUGAAAGUCGGGGGCUCAACCCUCGGAUGCCGGUGGAUACUGUCGGGCUUGAGUACGGAAGAGGCGAGUGGAAUUCCUGGUGUAGCGGUGAAAUGCGCAGAUAUCAGGAGGAACACCAAUGGCGAAAGCAGCUUUCUGGGACGGUACUGACGCUGAGACGCGAAAGCGUGGGGAGCGAACAGG
rnacentral:rRNA from 1 species